rnacentral:rRNA from 1 species
UACGUAGGGACCAAGCGUUGUUCGGAUUUACUGGGCGUAAAGGGCGCGUAGGCGGUCAGCACAAGUCAGUUGUGAAAUCUCCGAGCUUAACUCGGAAAGGUCAACCGAUACUGCGGGGCUAGAGUGCAGAAGGGGCAACUGGAAUUCUCGGUGUAGCGGUGAAAUGCGUAGAUAUCGAGAGGAACACCUGCGGCGAAGGCGGGUUGCUGGGCUGACACUGACGCUGAUGCGCGAAAGCUAGGGGAGCGAACGGG